AGACUGGGGGAUGGAGGAAGACAAUAGGACAAGGCUGGGGAAAUGGUAGCAGCUGAGCAGUCCAGUGCACUUGGCCUUGGUUGCUGCAGGUGCUGAUGGAGAAGGUCGCUGGCGUUCAGGGCACUGGUCACAAAGUCAGGCUUGGAUCAGUUCCAGUUCUGUGCCAUCAGCCCAUUCACAGGAGGACAAGAAUCACAGCUGAGGAUGGGAACUGGGGAAGAAAAGGUCUAUUGCUCGUGAUGUCCCAGAGAACCUAGGUUGAGUCCGUUCCAGAACAGGCAGAAGAAUCACUCCAGGCUGUCUUCCCCCUCCUGAGAUAGACUCAAGGACACAGGACUGGCUAGAGCCUGAUUAGCUGGGAAUCUGGAAGGAGCAGGACCUGAUAGACUCAGA